rnacentral:misc_RNA from 1 species
AAGUCGUUACAAGGUUUCCGUAGGUGAACCUGCGGAAGGAUCAUUCAUAACAAGUGUUCUACUGCACUUUUUAAACAAGUACUCACCUUGUGUGAAAUGUUUGUGCUACACGCGUCGCGUCAGUGACGCGUCAUGCGCAUAAUACCAACUUUUUUAUUGCAAUUUUUUUGUCUGAAGCUAUUUUUGAAUGAAAUAAUUCUAAAUACAA